rfam:Hordeum vulgare subsp. vulgare, WGS project CAJW01000000 data, contig: morex_contig_2579646
UUCAUACUCCCUCCGUCCCACAAUUCUUGUCUUAGAUUUAUCUAGAUAUGAAUGUAUCUAGUGACGGUUUAGUAUUUAGAUACAUUCAUUUCUACAUAAAUCUAAGACAAGAAUCUUAGGACGGAGGGAGUACUUA